rnacentral:rRNA from 1 species
AGAGUUUGAUCCUGGCUCAGAACGAACGCUGGCGGCGUGGAUAAGACAUGCAAGUCGAACGCGAAUUGCUUUGCAGCAAUGUGAAGCAGUUUGAGUGGCGAAAGGGUGCGUAACACGUGGGUAAUUUGCCAUGGAGACGGGGAUAAUUCCGCGAAAGCGGAACUAAUACCCGAUGAGGAUCCCAAGAGGCAUCUUUUGGGAUCGAAAGGUUGGGGACCGCAAGGCCUGACGCUCCAUGAUAAGCCCGCGGCCUAUCAGCUAGUUGGUGAGGUAACGGCUCACCAAGGCCAAGACGGGUAGCUGGUCUGAGAGGACGACCAGCCACACUGGAACUGAGACACGGUCCAGACACCUACGGGUGGCAGCAGUCGAGAAUUUUUCUCAAUGGGCGAAAGCCUGAAGGAGCGACGCCGCGUGGGGGAUGAAGGGCUUCGGUCCGUAAACCCCUGUCAUUUGUGAACAAAGGUCACGGGUCAACAGCCUGUGAUUUUGAUAGUAGCAAAAGAGGAAGGGACGGCUAACUCUGUGCCAGCAGCCGCGGUAAUACAGAGGUCCCGAGCGUUGUUCGGAUUCACUGGGCGUAAAGGGUGCGUAGGUGGCUUGGUAAGUUUGAUGUGAAAGCUCGGAGCUCAACUCCGAAAUGGCAUUGAAUACUAUCAGGCUUGAGGGUCGGAGGGGAGACUGGAAUUCUCGGUGUAGCAGUGAAAUGCGUAGAUAUCGAGAGGAACACCGGUGGCGAAGGCGAGUCUCUGGACGACACCUGACACUGAGGCACGAAAGCUAGGGGAGCAAACAGGAUUAGAUACCCUGGUAGUCCUAGCCGUAAACG